rnacentral:rRNA from 1 species
GAUGAACGCUGGCGGCGUGCCUAAUACAUGCAAGUCGAGCGAACGGACGAGGAGCUUGCUUCUCUGAUGUUAGCGGCGGACGGGUGAGUAACACGUGGAUAACCUACCUAUAAGACUGGGAUAACUUCGGGAAACCGUAGCUAAUACCGGAUAAUAUUUUGAACCGCAUGGUUCAAAAGUGAAAGACGGUCUUGCUGUCACUUAUAGAUGGAUCCGCGCUGCAUUAGCUAGUUGGUAAGGUAACGGCUUACCAAGGCAACGAUGCAUAGCCGACCUGAGAGGGUGAUCGGCCACACUGGAACUGAGACACGGUCCAGACUCCUACGGGAGGCAGCAGUAGGGAAUCUUCCGCAAUGGGCGAAAGCCUGACGGAGCAACGCCGCGUGAGUGAUGAAGGUCUUCGGAUCGUAAAACUCUGUUAUUAGGGAAGAACAUAUGUGUAAGUAACUGUGCACAUCUGGACGGUACCUAAUCAGAAAGCCACGGCUAACUACGU